CAAUAAUAAUACUGUUUGAUUUGUUUGUCAUAAAUUUACUGGCUGAUUUGAAAGAAUUAGACAAAGGAACAAUUAAAACAACUGAAAUAUAUAGUGAAGAAAAACAUGCUAGAGAAUUAAUUAUAAAAUAUGGCACAAUCAUUGCACUGAAACUCAAUUGUUUGUUUAACUAAGGAGCAAUCAAGUUCUGUUAUUGAUUAGAUCGAAAAUCAAAAGGAAAACUGCUCACAGCAUAGUACAGAAGUUGAGUGGCUUUUCAAUAAAUUAGUUCUUACAGAUCAUGCAAAAUAUAUGAAAGAAGGUAAUGAAUAUUAUUCAAUUAUAAUUAUAAAAAAUAUAUAUGAUGUAUAAUCAAAAAGUAUUGAGACUGAUAAUAUUACUCAAAUGUCACCCAGUCUUCUAUGACUUACUGGGAUCAUUUAUUCUUGAAUAAUCUAUAUAAACUUCUUUGUUUAGAUUUCACCAAUUUUUUUGUAAAAUAUGUUUUUGAGUUUGAUGAUUUUGUAAUGAAUCCUAAUGAAGAGCGAAUUGACAGUUUUUGAGAAUUUAGAAAAUUUGUUUGCAUGUUUUUGUUAGUUUCAGAGAGAUGCAACAUUAUGUGGUUUAUGAUAAUAAGUUUCAAUUGAAAAACUGCAGAUGCACUGUCAAGUGCAUCAACCAGUUUCGCUUCUUUUGGAUUUAUUAAAAAAUCGCCAAAUUUAAAAAUCCAUUUUACAAUAAUAUCAGUGAAAUCAAAACUAAGAAGAUUAUAGAGAUUCUUCAAGAAUAGAUGUGCUCAAUAGAAUACUUUAUGAUUAGCUCUCCUAUAUGUAUAUAUGUUUAAAUUUCUAUACUUAAUAAAUAUGAUAUUCACUAUUCGUUCUUGCUCAUUUAGUUUCAUAUUAGAGUACAAAUAAAUCUUAGGUUUAGACUGGAUGUGAACAAAAUUGUAUAGGCUUCCUUGUUUUCUUUUUUCAUGAUUCUGUUAUCAAAUAACUAGUUAUAUUGUGGAAGUUGAUGUUUUGCUUUAUUUUUAAUUGUAUAAUGUUUAAAUUCAUUGUAUCACUUAAUGGUGGGAUGUGGAGUGGAGUAGUACAUUCAAUACAUGAGUAGUAUAAUUAUUCUUUUACCUCCCUCCUCCCAACUGCUUCUGAGUGUGCUGUGCCUAAAUGAGUAAAUAUGAAAGCUCAACUAUGAACACAAACCAUUUUGGUAAUAUUUAUUUUCAAUUUCUCUAUAGGACUUCAAAUAAAUGCAUAGACUGUAAGCCAAAAUUCCGCCAUAAGUCUUAUUUAAUUUUAUCAUAAUCAGCAUCAUCUGGAUUUAAUGUUGUGAUUCCCUUAGGAAAUAACAGAUUGUUAAUUUUAUUCACUUUAUUUAUUAAUAUAAAUGUUAAUUUUUUUUUUAAUUUUUUGCAGCAUAAAACUUACUGGGAGGCCAAGAAAAUUAUCCAAUAUUGACACAUAUAAACAUACACAAGUAAAAUUAAGUUUUAGUUUAUUUAUUAACUCCAUUGUUAAGUAAGAUUUUUUUGAUUUGUUUCCUAUA